rnacentral:rRNA from 1 species
GACGAACGCUGGCGGCGUGCUUAACACAUGCAAGUCGAACGGAAAGGCCCUGCUUUUGUGGGGUGCUCGAGUGGCGAACGGGUGAGUAACACGUGAGUAACCUGCCCUUGACUUUGGGAUAACUUCAGGGAACUGGGGCUAAUACCGGAUAGGAGCUCCUGCUGCAUGGUGGGGGUUGGAAAGUUUCGGCGGUUGGGGAUGGACUCGCGGCUUAUCAGCUUGUUGGUGGGGUAGUGGCUUACCAAGGCUUUGACGGGUAGCCGGCCUGAGAGGGUGACCGGCCACAUUGGGACUGAGAUACGGCCCAGACUCCUACGGGAGGCAGCAGUGGGGAAUAUUGCACAAUGGGCGGAAGCCUGAUGCAGCAACGCCGCGUGCGGGAUGACGGCCUUCGGGUUGUAAACCGCUUUCGCCUGUGACGAAGCGUGAGUGACGGUAAUGGGUAAAGAAACACCGGCUAACUACGU